rnacentral:ncRNA from 1 species
UGAAAGUUUAAAUUUAGCUUAGGGAUUUAGUUUAUAAUUUUUUAAUAUAUGUAAAUUUUUAAUAAUAGAUUUAAGGUUUUCAAUAUUUAGAAUUAAAUAUUAGGUUAUUCUAGAUUUAGUAAUUUAUUUUAGUACUAACAAAACUUGUGCCAGCAGUAGCGGUUAUUCAUGUAGUGCUAUUAAAUUUUAUUGGUUUUAAAUAACUGAUUUUUAAAUAUAUUAUUUUCAUUUGAAGGUGAAAUUUAAAUAAAAAUUAAUAUUUUGUUUGUUAAUUUGUUUAGUUAACUAUUAAACUAGGAUUAGAUACCCUAUUAUUUUAAUUAAAUUUAAAUACCAUAUAAUUAAUAGCUUUGAUCUUUAAAGUAAAAAAUUUUGGCGGUACUUUAGUCUUGUUAGAGGAACCUGUUCUUUAAUCGAUAAUCCACGAUUAUAUGUACUUUUUAUUUUGCUUACAUAUCGUUGUAAAAAGCAUAUUUCAAGAUUAUAUUUUAUUUCAUUAAACUGAAUAAUUUCAGAUCAAGGUGUAGCUUAGGGAAGUAGAAAUGGGUUACUAUUAAAAUAUGGAUUUGAGAUUUUAAAUUUUAAUGAAAUAGGAUUUGAGAGUAAAUUUAUUUAUUUAAUUUGAUUGAUUUUAGCUCUAAAGUAUGUACAUAUCGCCCGUCGCUUUCAUUUAAGUUGAAAUAAGUCGUAACAAAGUAGAUUUACUGGAAAGUGAAUCUUGUUUACA